UGUGGGAGCGGGCUUGCCCGCGAUAGCGAUCUGUCAGUCGAUGUUGUUGUGACUGGCCCACCGCAAUCGCGGGCAAGCCCGCUCCCACA
rnacentral:misc_RNA from 1 species